CAGUAGCCGCGGGAAUACGGAGGGUGCAAGCGUUAUCCGGAUUUAUUGGGUUUAAAGGGUCCGUAGGCGGAUCUGUAAGUCAGUGGUGAAAUCUCACAGCUUAACUGUGAAACUGCCAUUGAUACUGCAGGUCUUGAGUAAAUUUGAAGUGGCUGGAAUAAGUAGUGUAGCGGUGAAAUGCAUAGAUAUUACUUAGAACACCAAUUGCGAAGGCAGGUCACUAAGAUUUAACUGACGCUGAUGGACGAAAGCGUGGGGAGCGAACAGGAUUAGAUACCCGAGUAGUCCCUGUCUCUUAUAA
rnacentral:rRNA from 1 species